rnacentral:rRNA from 1 species
GACAGAGGGUGCAACCGUUGUUCGGAAUUACUGGGCGUAAAGCGCGUGUAGGCUGCUCCGCAAGUCGGGUGUGAAAGCCCUGGGCUCAACCUAGGAAGUGCACUCGAAACUUCGGAGCUGGAGUCCUGGAGAGGAAGGCGGAAUUCUCGGUGUAGAGGUGAAAUUCGUAGAUAUCGAGAGGAACACCGGUGGCGAAGGCGGCCUUCUGGACAGCAACUGACGCUGAGACGCGAAAGCGUGGGGAGCAAACAGG